ensembl:lncRNA
UUUUCUUUCUUUUUUUUUUUUUUUCUUUUUUUUUUUUUCCACAUUCCUUCUUUUCUGCUAGGAUUUUUCCAUGGCCUUAAUGUUAUCUCACACAAGCAAUCUUAGAAGCCCUGAUGUUUUCCUGUAUUCCAUCUUGCCCACUGUUCUAUAGUGCUUGCACUUGAAAUAUAGAUUAUCCAGGUUAACACUCUCCAUUUUUUGUGUCAAUCUUUCCAACCCAAAUCUGGAGAGAGUGACCUGUUAGGAAACUGACUCCAUGCUCUUGAGCCUGAACGUUUUAGCUCCCUGGAUUUUUUCAGCCAAGGGCACUGAGAGGUUCCCAGCCAAUGCUGGCGCACAAAAAGAAAAUCUGUCUGUAGACUCAUAGAAAAACUCUACUCAUAUUUUUUAUUCCAGUUUUGGGGACAACUCUACUAGUGGUCACACCAUGAAUGCUUUGUUAUUAUAUUAAUAGUGUAAUACAGAUAAUGUACUCCUGAGUAUAAAUCAGGCUUACAGUAUUUAUAGAUACAAAACCUUAAUAAACUCACCAGAACUCAAUUUUAACAGACACAGAUUUUCCGAAGUGUCACACUGGACAUUCAGGGCCUGUGUAUGGUCUUGUGAUGUCUUUUUGCAGAACUAGCUCAAAUAUUCUGUUUGCCAAAUAAUACCCUAAUGUGCAAAGAGUAGUUUAAUGGCUACACUGCAGUGGAACAGCACAAGUUCAUGCAUUUUAACUGCCUUUUAUUUAGGAAAUGGCACAACAUAAUGAAGUGUUUGGAUUCUGGCCAUGACUCCAGUCUCCUGUGUGGUUCUGUCCUCAAAACUCGGAUCAGACCUCAGAAACCCAUUUUCGUUUUCUACCUUUUACAAAGACUGUUUUAGGACAACAGGGCUUUCAGGAGCAAAUUUCCUGAUGUUUGUGGGUGCACAGGACACAGAGAAUUGCACAAGCACCACCAACAUAUUUCAUAAAAUUGCUGAUAAUUUACACAUAAUUGAAAAGAUACACUUUACCUUUCUCCUUUCUCUUUCAUACUUCUCACUCUAUGAUACAUUUUGCAUACGUAUGUCCUUUCAGUGUGGAUAUUUUGCAUUAUGCCUUGCUGCAGUUUCACAAAAUGAAAAGGCUUUGUCCCCACAUGGCAGACAGGUUGCUGCUUUUACAGGGUGCUCAGCUACAGCGACAAGUGUCAGGCAGUGCUCAUCACUUUUCUGGCUUUCUGUAUAGGAGACCUCUUGUCUGAAAGUCAGAUUCUUCUCUUGCCCUCUCCAAGUCUGAAGGGAGCAGAGAGGUUUUUUUUCUGAUGCUGAAACCUCCCUUCCCAGACACUGUAUGAUGAAAGUUGUGCACUUGAGUCUAGAGCACAAAAAAAAAAAAACAAAAACAAAAAACAAAAA